ACGGAAGGCAGCAGUGGGGAAUAUUGCACAAUGGGGGAAACCCUGAUGCAGCGACGCCGCGUGAGUGAAGAAGUAUUUCGGUAUGUAAAGCUCUAUCAGCAGGAAAGAAAAUGACGGUACCUGACUAAGAAGCCCCGGCUAACUACGUGCCAGCAGCCGCGGUAAUACGUAGGGGGCAAGCGUUAUCCGGAUUUACUGGGUGUAAAGGGAGCGUAGACGGCUUUGCAAGUCUGAAGUGAAAGCCCGGGGCUCAACCCCGGAACUGCUUUGGAAACUGUAGAGCUAGAGUGCAGGAGAGGUAAGUGGAAUUCCUAGUGUAGCGGUGAAAUGCGUAGAUAUUAGGAGGAACACCAGUGGCGAAGGCGGCUUACUGACUGUAACUGACGUUGAGGCUCGAAGGCGUGGGGAGCAAACAGGAUUAGAUACCCUGGUA
rnacentral:rRNA from 1 species